GUGCCAGCAGCCGCGGUAAUACGUAGGUGACAAGCGUUGUCCGGAUUUAUUGGGCGUAAAGGGAGCGCAGGCGGUCUGUUUAGUCUAAUGUGAAAGCCCACGGCUUAACCGUGGAACGGCAUUGGAAACUGACAGACUUGAAUGUAGAAGAGGAAAAUGGAAUUCCAAGUGUAGCGGUGGAAUGCGUAGAUAUUUGGAGGAACACCAGUGGCGAAGGCGAUUUUCUGGUCUAACAUUGACGCUGAGGCUCGAAAGCGUGGGGAGCGAACAGGAUUAGAAACCCCCGUAGUCC
rnacentral:rRNA from 1 species